ACGGGAGGCAGCAGUGGGGGAUAUUGCACGAUGGGGGAAACCCUGAUGCAGCGACGCCGCGUGAGUGAAGAAGUAUUUCGGUAUGUAAAGCUCUAUCAGCAGGGAAGAAAAUGACGGUACCUGACUAAGAAGCUCCGGCUAAAUACGUGCCAGCAGCCGCGGUACUACGUAUGGAGCAAGCGUUAUCCGGAUUUACUGGGUGUAAAGGGAGCGCAGACGGUUUGCCAAGUCUGAUGUGAAAGCUAGGGGCUCAACCCCUAAACUGCAUUGGAAACUGGUAGACUAGAGUGUCGGAGAGGUAAGUGGAAUUCCUAGUGUAGCGGUGAAAUGCGUAGAUAUUAGGAGGAACACCAGUGGCGAAGGCGGCUUACUGGACGAUAACUGACGUUGAGGCUCGAAAGCGUGGGGGGCAAACAGGAUUAGAUACCCUGGUA
rnacentral:rRNA from 1 species